rnacentral:rRNA from 1 species
AGAGUUUGAUCAUGGCUCAGAUUGAACGCUGGCGGCAUGCCUUACACAUGCAAGUCGAACGGCAGCAUGAUCUAGCUUGCUAGAUUGAUGGCGAGUGGCGAACGGGUGAGUAAUACAUCGGAACGUGCCCUGUAGUGGGGGAUAACUAGUCGAAAGAUUAGCUAAUACCGCAUACGACCUGAGGGUGAAAGUGGGGGACCGCAAGGCCUCAUGCUAUAGGAGCGGCCGAUGUCUGAUUAGCUAGUUGGUGAGGUAAAGGCUCACCAAGGCGACGAUCAGUAGCUGGUCUGAGAGGACGAUCAGCCACACUGGGACUGAGACACGGCCCAGACUCCUACGGGAGGCAGCAGUGGGGAAUUUUGGACAAUGGGCGAAAGCCUGAUCCAGCAAUGCCGCGUGUGUGAAGAAGGCCUUCGGGUUGUAAAGCACUUUUGUCCGGAAAGAAAUGGCUCUGGUUAAUACCUGGGGUCGAUGACGGUACCGGAAGAAUAAGGACCGGCUAACUACGUGCCAGCAGCCGCGGUAAUACGUAGGGUCCAAGCGUUAAUCGGAAUUACUGGGCGUAAAGCGUGCGCAGGCGGUUGUGCAAGACCGAUGUGAAAUCCCCGAGCUUAACCUGGGAAUUGCAUUGGUGACUGCACGGCUAGAGUGUGUCAGAGGGGGGUAGAAUUCCACGUGUAGCAGUGAAAUGCGUAGAGAUGUGGAGGAAUACCGAUGGCGAAGGCAGCCCCCUGGGAUAACACUGACGCUCAUGCCACGAAAGCGUGGGGAGCAAACAGGAUUAGAUACCCUGGUAGUCCACGCCCUAAACGAUGUCAACUAGUUGUUGGGGAUUCAUUUCCUUAGUAACGUAGCUAACGCGUGAAGUUGACCGCCUGGGGAGUACGGUCGCAAGAUUAAAACUCAAAUGAAAUCGUCGACCUGCAGGCAUGCAAG